rnacentral:lncRNA from 1 species
UAUGGAGCUACCUGUGCCCCUGCCCUGUUCUUGCCCUGGGUCAUCCUGCACUCAGUGUUGACUUUGUGGCAUCUACUGAAAUACUUUCAGAAGGCAGAUACAUGGUUGAUGGAGCUGGGGUUGCCUGUCUCACUGACAGAAUGGUCAGAAUUCAGCCACUUAGAACCAGCAACUAGCCUACUUUUACUUGCUUUAAAAGGAAUCAAGACUCUUUGGGCUUCCAUGGAAAUAAGAUUUGUACCAUAUGUCUAAGUUGUGCAUGCCAAGGAUAAUGGAAACAAGACUGGCGAGGGGAGGCAUGGGUAGGACUUAAAAAUUCCAGAGGUCUGCAAAGGUUUCUUCUCAGGAUAUAUGAAAAACCAUCACAUAUCAUGCUGAAAUCAAGAUAAUAAUACCCUAUACCUGCUUUAAGGCCCAGCAAUUCCACUUCUAUGUAUUUAUCCAGGAGAAAUAAAAACACGUCUACUAAAAGACUCAUACAAGAAUGUUUAUGGAAACCAUAUUCACAAUAACCCCAAGCUGGAAAUGACCCAUAUGUCCAUUAAUAAGAGAACAGAUCAACAAAAUGUGGUAUAUGCA